ACUCUCUUCGGCAGCACAUAUACUAAAAUUGGAAUGAUACAGAGAAAAUUAGAGUGGUCCUUGCGCAAGGAUAACAUGCAAAUUUGUGAAGUGUUCCAUAUUUUU